rnacentral:rRNA from 1 species
GGGUUGUGAGGUUAAGCGACUAAGCGUACACGGUGGAUGCCCUGGCAGUCAGAGGCGAUGAAGGACGUGCUAAUCUGCGAUAAGCGUCGGUAAGGUGAUAUGAACCGUCAUAACCGGCGAUUUCCGAAUGGGGAAACCCAGUGUGUUUCGACACACUAUCAUUAACUGAAUCCAUAGGUUAAUGAGGCGAACCGGGGGAACUGAAACAUCUAAGUACCCCGAGGAAAAGAAAUCAACCGAGAUUCCCCCAGUAGCGGCGAGCGAACGGGGAG